CCCGCAAGGUCCGGAUCCGUCUAACCCUGCUCGAGCGAGAAAAAGAAAAGGGAUCGAGAAGACCGGAAAAAGCUAGCGACCUGAAAACCCUAUCCUCACAGCCGCCGCCUCUUCCUUUCCCUCGCCUCCAGCGCCGCCGUCGGGCGUCCUGGCUCCUCCACGCACGCCCUCCCCUCCACCAUGCUUGCCAGGCCUGCUCCUCGGCCGAUUUCCCGAGCGCUGCGGCUGGAAGGGCUCCUCAUCAUCGGGUUUCUGCGCCGCGGCGCCUCACAAAGUCGGCCAUGUGGAGGAGCACACAUGGAAGCAGCAGGCCGAUGCGGGGAUCUGCAGGCGGAGCUCCGCCGUCUCCGGACCCUCUCCAUCUCGUGCUUCAUUGGGUCAAGGUUGGGGAGCAGCACACAGGGAUCGACCUUCAGAGCUCCGCCACCAAUCCCCUCAUGCGUCGACCUCGUGUGCGCCCGCCGGUGAGAAGUAAGAUCACGGUGACGGUCGGCAAGCCGUUGGUCCUAUCCUCCAUCUCCAUGUACAGGAAGCAGAUGCAGGGGAAGGUUUUGAUUUCACAUGAAUUUGGCUCUACCAUUGGCACAUGAUUGGUCGUGUGCACUUGGGCAGCACCAUGCCAAGAAUGAGAUUCUAUUUUAUCUAUGCCUAUAGGUUGUACGAUGAAAAGACAUUGGUGUUGCGGCCAUUGUUGUUAUAGUGGUCAACGGCAACCUCUAGCUAAGGUAAGCUCAUUGUCUACUCGCUUUUUUUCUAAUAUCUUCACUUUGUAGCCAGUUAAGAGCCAUUGUUAACCAUCAGACCACUAAAUGGAAUUUACUCUGAGAAAUGCAUGCAUACAUGUUAUUUAGAGUGACAUGAAAACACUGAUUAGUUGUAGUAUUGCAAGGACAGAAACAGGGGGUCAUCCCAUUUCUAAGGUGAUGGUUAGCGAGGUACAGGAAGUUUAAGCAAUGAUGUGGCUACUCUGGUAUGGAGGCACUCCUCAGCUGCAAGCAGUUCCAGGGCCCUGUGUUUUCUCUGCUCUAAGAUAAUCCACUAAGCCUUUUCAUAUUCAAUUUCAUUUGCUUGGAAAUAAAAAUCUUGAUAGGUUGUGUUGUAUUGGUCCCCUGUGUUUUCUCUGCUCUAAAACACCAUUUGAGGCGGUAAAAAAGUGAGCAAUGGACUGUACCCUAUAUUUGUAGACUGACCAAUAAAUUUGAAGAGUGAACAUUCUGCACUGCAAUGGCAUGUUCUAUUUAUUGAUGUAUUCAUUAGUAGCUUCACUAUCAUUUUUACCUCCAUGGGAAUUACCAAUUGCCUUGUUUUAUUUUCCUGUAGGCAAGAAGGGUUUGAGUGGCAUCAUUUUUACCUCCAUGGGAAUUAUCAAUGCUUUCCAAGUGGGGCUAACAUUUCAAUGGGUACAAAGCAAACAUUUUUUUCUUAUCUUGCUCACAACCUUGCAGGUAGGUUUAGUCAUGGCAUAUAUUACCCUUCUAAGAGAGAAUCUUAGAACCAUAUAAAUAAUAACAACACCAUGUCGAUUUUAAAGUUAUUUAGAUACAUCGUUAUAUAUGGAUUUUUUAUUGUUUGCUUACAUCUGAAUCAUGUCAUGCCUAGAGAUUAUAUGCAUCUUUCCCAUCGAUCACUGAUGUGACACACAAUAGGCAGCCUAUUUUGCAGUGUAGCAUGGAUGAUUAGCUCCUGCUUAGUUUAAUGUUUGUGUGAUAUCAGUCUUGAAUAAUUAUUGGUUGUAUUAGUCUGCCUAUUUACCACUAUUGCUGAUGCUUUACAUGUCUGCCAGAUUGUACAUUAGUUCCAAGAUAAAUAGCAGAUGUCUAGAUUUGCUAGGUAAAGACAACUCUAUAUGGACAGAGGGAGGAUUUUCUUUUCUGCUGUCACAAAGAUUCAAUAUCAAGGUUCUUAUAUUUAGAUUUUCCUAGAUCUAUUAGCAAAUGUAAUAAUGCUUCUUGAAUGAUUAGGUUGGGCGUAUGCACAUAAUUCUUCUACUAGCCCCCUUUUCAAGCUCUUGCUUCUGUGAGAGUUUCUUGAAUGGUAUCAUGUGUCUUUGCUACCUGCAGAUGAUUCAUUAUGAGAGUAAAUAUAAUUGGAUUGCAUUUCUUUCACUACGAACAUGUAUUUCCCUUCUAAUGAUAUUUACAAUAUAUAUAUCUCUAUUGUUUCCUUUGUUACCUCUAUUUUUAACUUAUAUGGAGAGCCUUGCUUUUCUUGUAAUCGUUCUGUGAACUAGGACUGUGAUUAAAUAGAUGCUCAUGGCAAUGCAGGUUAUUGUAAUCUACUUGUACAGGUUAAUUUGAGAAUCUCAUUUUAUUCUUAAUCUGGGUGUUGCUUUCCUCCAGGUUAAUCUGACUGGGCAGUUUAAUUAAUGGAUAUAUUGUUUGCUGAAUUUGGGUAUCCGCUUGGUCACAUUUACUCUGUUUUGGACUGGUUUGGAUAGGAUGUAGCGGAGAAAAUUUUGGGAUAUCUUGACCAUUUGGUUCGUUCAGUUCAUCCUUUUCCUUAUGGUUAGGAAUGCGCUACAGGGUGUUGAUUGAUGUGAGUGAAUUUACAUUCAAGUCCUUCUGAUCUACAGAAUAUUGUGAAUAUAUUGGAUUGAACAUUGUGUGCAUCUAAAAGUCAUCCAGUUUUAGCUGAUGAUUUAUAUUGAUCCCAUGGUUGCCUCCUUACCUGGACAGCACCAACACGGUCUUUGCCAAGCGUCUUGCUGACACCUUCCCUGACUAAACUCCCUUCCCCGUUCUUCAAAUAGAUAUGGUACACGAACCAUUCUGGUUUUUUGUAUCUACUUUGUUGUAUGCUAACAAAACUGGGUUGGUGCUUGUCUUGCAGGUUAUGGCGAUUCCAUUAGAGAGUGUGGUAAAUGUCCUAUAUGUAGUCAAGCCGAAGUGAUUGUUGCCCCAGCGAUAUGCUCUAGGAGAUAAUAUCUUUUAGAUUCCAUGUGCUGUGAGAAGAAUGAAUAUAUUUUACCAUUGACGAGUUGACAAGCCAAGCUGCUGAGAAAUAAGCUUUGAUUCAAUAUACGAAUUCUCGGUUGUAAAAUGGAAAUGUGAGUUGCUGACAAAUACAUAGUGUUCUAUUGCGCUUGAUGAGCCAAAGGUCCUCUUCAUCUAUCUGCUUAUUUAUUUAUUUUUCGUAAUUUUAUUUAUCUGUGAAACACUAGCUGCUGCAUUUUCUUUUUGUUGGUACAUUUUGAGAUUUUAAAAUAAAAUAACCAUAUCACCCUUUGAACAAUAGUACAAAUUACUGCUCCAUGUUUUUCUACACAGGACUUGACCAUCCUCUGCAGAUCCAGUUUUUCGUUUUAGUUGAAUGGAUAUGUUAUUCCUUACACACUUCCCAUGACAGGUGAUGCGUUUCACUGAUCGCUGGCUUGUUGCUCUUCCCGGCCAGAAGUUAAUCCCGUGCACAUGAUUGAAAAAUCAGAAGCUGAUGCAGAGAGUUUUCUUGCUGAAAAAUGCCCAGUCUACUAUACCUUGAGAAGCAACAUUAUUUAUGGACCCCAAAUGAUAUCCUGUAGCAAAAUCUCUGCAUAUUUUCAUAUUUCCCUACUCAGGUAACCUAACCAGCUGCCCCAAAAGGCCAAAACACACCAAAUUUUUAAUCUUGUGGAUAAUGUAAACAUUAAAUUGUUUGGCCGUAUAUGUUCUGUGGUCUUCUUUUAGAGAACACCCAUUUCCCUUUGUUUUAUCUGAAGAAAACCUCUACAUUUUCCUUACACAUGAAAUGAUUUACUUUGACUACACGAGAUUUGAGUAUUUAGUGUCUUUACUUUGACGUCAACAUCUUAAAAAUAACUCAGACCAUUUGUUAUAGAAGGAAUUGCAAUUACAAUUAAUAAUGGCGUGCACCUUGACUCAUUUUUGUUGCAUAAAGCAGUGUCAUCGGUGAUGUUUGUCUCUGAUGACCACACACAACAUUGUGGUUUGUCUGUUGUUCUCCUUCUCGGUGUUUGUCUUCUGUUGUUUCUAGGGAUUGGAUGGCUUAAUGGCUCUUUUUUUUUGGGUGUUGCUAGGCUGGGUGCGCGUAUUGUCCCUGAAUAUAUCAGUAUUGCGUAGACUGUUUCCCCAGAAAUGCAAACAGUACUAUCACCCCACGAGAAUUACUUAGCAACAUUGCAUUGUGAGCUUCUUACAUUUCUUUUAUGCAGGACCAUAGGUUAUACUUGUUUCAAUCAAAAAAAUUGGAGCUAAAGAAUACAAUUAUGGUUCUACAAUCGAUCACAUUCUCAUUUCUGGUGCAUGUUUCUACCAACACAUUUUUUUCUCUUUAAGACCAUAGAAUUUUCCAUUGCCAUGUGGAGGAUUGUAAGAUAAUAAAUCAUUUCAGAAGUAGAUGGAAUUUGCAAAAUAUAGGUAAGGAAGGGUCAAAACAUUAUUCUAUGGAGAGCAAAAUGGAUAAAAUAAAAGAUUUGCUUACUGUUACAUUGUCAGCAUGUGGAAAGAAGGGAGUAGUACUAGGCUUGAAGACUCCAACCAUAUUCCGGUAUAUAUUAUAUUAAGUUAAAUACCUGAAUAUUCAGUCCAUAAUAUCCGGUCAUUGGCUGCAAGUUUCCUCUCCAGAGAUCCGUGGACGGCAACAGAGUACAUGUGCGCUAUGUUAUGGCAACAGGUUAUUAUACUGUCAUUCUGCUAACUAGCCAGUUGAACUACUAUAUGACUUAGUUUCCCAUCAAACGCAUGCUUGUUACUCCUGUAUUUUGUUACCUGUAAACACUCUUUAGUUAUUUUACUGUACAGGCAACUGCCACGGUCUAAAUUUCUCUCCUUGUAUUUUAACAACAACUUUCUGUACUUCAUAAUAUCCGCAUAGAGGAAAUAUCUCCUUGGUUGGAUAUAUUGUUACUGAACUUACUACAUGACCGCACUUCAAGAUUUUCUAUGAUUUGCUCUGUCUCAAUCUUUGCUCGAGUGGCCCUAUCUUUUUCUCUUCUCUCUACAUGUCAAUGAGCUCCAUUUCUUGUGAUUUUUUUUUGUUUCUUCUCCUUUUUUUUAUGCUGACUCAGUGGCGUUGUUCAGCUUGCAGGCUGGUCACACUCAGCAUGGGAGAGCUGGCCAAAUUUGAUGAAGUAACGAGACUACAACAAUUGCUAAAUCGUUUAUUAGCAUUAGAGUAAUAUAUACUCCUCUAUUUCGGUGAUUGUAUAUAAGUGUUUGCUAAUCUGUUUCUGAUUUCGUGUGCUUUAUCCAUUUCAUCCUAUCUCCUAAUUUCAUCAUGUUGACUCUGUUUUGUAAAAUUUAAAAACCAUAUUAUCUAUUUCUUGCCUGAUUUUUUCGCUGUUAUACAAACUAUAA